rnacentral:rRNA from 1 species
UACGUAGGUCCCGAGCGUCGUCCGGAUUUAUUGGGCGUAAAGCGAACGCAGGUGGUUUAUUAAGUCUGGUGUAAAAGGCAGUGGCUCAACCAUUGUAUGCAUUGGAAACUGGUAGACUUGAGUGCAGGAGAGGAGAGUGGAAUUCCAUGUGUAGCGGUGAAAUGCGUAGAUAUAUGGAGGAACACCGGUGGCGAAAGCGGCUCUCUAGCCUGUAACUGACACUGAGGCUCGAAAGCGUGGGGAGCAAACAGG